UACGUAGGCAGCAAGCGUUGUUCGGAGUUACUGGGCGUAAAGGGUGUGUAGGCGGUUCUUUAAGUUUGGUGUGAAAUCUCCCGGCUCAACCGGGAGGGUGCGCCGAAUACUGAGGGACUAGAGUGCGGGAGAGGAAAGUGGAAUUCCUGGUGUAGCGGUGAAAUGCGUAGAUAUCAGGAGGAACACCGGUGGUGUAGACGGCUUUCUGGACCGCAACUGACGCUGAGACACGAAAGCGUGGGUAGCGAACCGG
rnacentral:rRNA from 1 species